UACGUAGGGUGCAAGCGUUAAUCGGAAUUACUGGGCGUAAAGCGUGCGCAGGCGGUUUUGUAAGUCUGACGUGAAAUCCCCGGGCUUAACCUGGGAAUUGCGUUGGAGACUGCAAGGCUGGAGUCUGGCAGAGGGGGGUAGAAUUCCACGUGUGAGCAGUGAAGUGCGUAGAGAUGUGGAGGAACACCGAUGGCGAAGGCAGCCCCCUGGGUCAAGACUGACGCUCAUGCACGAAAGCGUGGGGAGCAAACGAGGAUUAGAA
rnacentral:rRNA from 1 species